rnacentral:rRNA from 1 species
AAAGUCUAGCCUGCCCACUGAUUGAUUUAAAGGGCCGCGGUAAUUUGACCGUGCGAAGGUAGCAUAGUCAGUAGUCUUUUAAUUGAAGGCUUGAAUGAAAGGUUGGACGAGAGAUAAGCUGUCUCUUUUGCGUGGUUUGAAUUUAACUUUUGAGUGAAAAGGCUCAAAUUUCUUAGUGGGACGAUAAGACCCUAUAAAACUUAAUAUAAGUUAAAUUGGAUUUGUGAUUUCAGUAAAAAGUGGUCCUUUUAAGUUUAUAUUUCGUUGGGGAGAUGUAGAU